UAGGAAAUAGUGUUAUUGGAGUGCACAAAGAGUUUUGAUCUCUUAAGUUGAGGUUCAAAUCCUCCUUUCCUAC
rnacentral:tRNA from 1 species